AGAAUUGAUCUGGUUCAGGAUGAACGCUAGCGACAGGCUUAACACAUGCAAGUCGAGGGGCAGCAUAAAAGUAGCAAUACGUUGGUGGCGACCGGCGCACGGGUGAGUAACGCGUAUGCAACCUACCUAUCAGAGGGGAAUAACCCGGCGAAAGUCGGACUAAUACCGCAUAAAACAGGGGCACCGCAUGGUGAUAUUUGUUAAAGAGAUUCGCUGAUAGAUGGGCAUGCGUUCCAUUAGGUAGUUGGUGAGGUAACGGCUCACCAAGCCGACGAUGGAUAGGGGAACUGAGAGGUUGGUCCCCCACACUGGUACUGAGACACGGACCAGACUCCUACGGGAGGCAGCAGUGAGGAAUAUUGGUCAAUGGGCGGGAGCCUGAACCAGCCAAGUCGCGUUGAAGGAAGAAGGAUCUAUGGUUCGUAAACUUCUUUUGCAGGGGAAUAAAGUGCAGGACGUGUCCUGUUUUGUAUGUACCCUGAGAAUAAGGAUCGGCUAACUCCGUGCCAGCAGCUGC
rnacentral:rRNA from 1 species